rnacentral:rRNA from 1 species
AUUGAACGCUGGCGGCAGGCCUAACACAUGCAAGUCGAACGAGUGGCGGACGGGUGAGUGAUGUCUGGGAAACUGCCCGCUGGAGGGGGAUAACUACUGGAAACGGUAGCUAAUACCGCAUACCCUCUGAGGUGCCCACAUGGGGUUAGCUAGUAGGUGAGGUAACGGCUCACCCAGGCGACGAUGCCUAGCUGGUCUGAGAGGAUGAUCAGCCACACUGGAACUGAGACACGGUCCAGACUCCUACGGGAGGCAGCAGUGGGGAAUAUUGCACAAUGGGCGCAAGCCUGAUGCAGCCAUGCCGCGUGUAUGAAGAAGGCCUUCGGGUUGUAAAGUACUUUCAGCGGGGAGGCGUUACCCGCAGAAGAAGCACCGGCUAACUCCGUGCCAGCAGCCGCGGUAAUAC